rnacentral:piRNA from 1 species
UUCCUUCAAAGACCAAUGCGC